rnacentral:lncRNA from 1 species
AAAAGAAAUACAUUCUCUGAAAUAUGAACUCCAUAUUGCCUCAAAGGAGCUAGAAAUUCGUAAUGAGGAGAAAAAUAUGAGUGUACGGUCUGCAGAAGUAGCAAACAAGCAACACCUGGAGGGAGUAAAGAAAAUUGUGAAACUGGAAGCAGAGUGUCAGAGAUUACGUGGUCUUGUCCGGAAGAAGUUACCUGGGCCUGCAGCGUUGGCCCAAAUACCUAGAGGGAGUAAAGAAAAUUGCGAAACUGGAAGCAGAGUGUCAGAGAUUACGUGGUCUUCUCCGUAAGAAGUUACCUGGGCCUGCAGCGUUGGCCCAAAUGAAGCUUGAAGUUGAGAGUUUGGGUCGAGAUUAUGGGGAUAGCCGUGUAAAGAAAUCCCAAGGCAGGCCUUCUAGUCCACAGUUUUCCAGUUUACCAGAUUUUUCAUUUGAUACUGUGC